UCUCCAGUUCUCCAGUGUUCACAGGUGAGCCUACCAACAGCCACUGCUCAUGAUGGAGGCCAUCAAGAAAAAGAUGCAGAUGCUGAAGUUAGACAAGGAGAAUGCUCUGGAUCGGGCAGAGCAAGCUGAAGCUGAGCAGAAGCAGGCAGAAGAAAGAAGUAAACAGACUGCCUUUGUGACCUUGGGAAAGUCAGUGAGCCACAGUAUGUCUGCUGAAUUUAAGUAGAAAUGGACCAUGUUUUGGAAGAACCCUUGACUUCUAGAGGAAAAGCUGGAGGAUGAGCUGGCAGCCAUGCAGAAGAAGCUGAAAGGGACAGAGGAUGAGCUGGACAAGUAUUCUGAAGCUUUGAAGGAUGCCCAGGAGAAGCUGGAACUGGCAGAGAAGAAGGCUGCUGAUCUUUCCCAAGUCAGAAAGUACCCUCAGAGAUAUGCAUAAGAACAAGAAACAGGAGAGGGAAGGUUGUGGCCAGGAGCAAGCAAGAAGAAAGGUUUCUUUCCUCAAAGCUAGAGUCAGCAAACUACCACCUGUGGGUUAAAUCUUGCAACAGCCUGGUUUUGUAAAUAAAGUUUUAUCGGAACACA
rnacentral:lncRNA from 1 species